UUCAAGUUCCCCCAGCAGAAGCUGUGCCUGAUUUGUAGCCAAUGCUAGAGAUGUUCGAAAAGGGAGGAAAACACUAAGCGGGUAGCUAUGGAGAUAGACCGUUUUCCUGGCCGCUUCCUUUGACAGGUGUUGAGUAGGUUAAAAGUCUUCAAACAGAGUCCACCAUGUACGCCAAAGGGAAAGGAGCUGUCGUUCCAUCCGAUAGUCAAGCCAGAGAGAAGUUAGCUUUAUACGUGUACGAGUACUUAUUGCAUGUUGGGGCCCAGAAAUCAGCACAGACCUUCCUUUCCGAGAUCCGAUGGGAGAAGAACAUUACGCUAGGGGAGCCUCCUGGAUUCCUCCAUUCAUGGUGGUGGUAAGU